rnacentral:rRNA from 1 species
UACGUAGGGGGCAAGCGUUGUCCGGAAUCAUUGGGCGUAAAGAGCGCGUAGGCGGUCCGGUAAGUCCGCUCUGAAAGCCCGGGGCUCAACCCCGGGAGGCGGGCGGAUACUGUCGGGCUAGAGUCCGGAAGAGGCGAGUGGAAUUCCUGGUGUAGCGGUGAAAUGCGCAGAUAUCAGGAGGAACACCGGUGGCGAAGGCGGGUCUCUGGGCAGUAACUGACGCUGAGGAGCGAAAGCGUGGGGAGCGAACAGG